AUGAACGCUGGCGGCGUGCCUAAUACAUGCAAGUCGAGCGAACAGACGAGGAGCUUGCUCCUCUGACGUUAGCGGCGGACGGGUGAGUAACACGUGGAUAACCUACCUAUAAGACUGGGAUAACUUCGGGAAACCGGAGCUAAUACCGGAUAAUAUAUUGAACCGCAUGGUUCAAUAGUGAAAGACGGUUUUGCUGUCACUUAUAGAUGGAUCCGCGCCGCAUUAGCUAGUUGGUAAGGUAACGGCUUACCAAGGCAACGAUGCGUAGCCGACCUGAGAGGGUGAUCGGCCACACUGGAACUGAGACACGGUCCAGACUCCUACGGGAGGCAGCAGUAGGGAAUCUUCCGCAAUGGGCGAAAGCCUGACGGAGCAACGCCGCGUGAGUGAUGAAGGUCUUCGGAUCGUAAAACUCUGUUAUUAGGGAAGAACAAAUGUGUAAGUAACUAUGCACGUCUUGACGGUACCUAAACAGAAAGCCACGGCUAACUACGU
rnacentral:rRNA from 1 species